rnacentral:rRNA from 1 species
AUGUUCAAGCUGGAGGAUGUGUCGAUGGGAAUAUGGAUCAAUGAGAUGAAGAAGGAAGGCUUUUAUGUCAAGUAUGAGAAUGAUUGGUGGGAAUCUAGUUGCGCACUACCAGGAGCCAAUGUAGAUCAUGUGCCUCUAGAUCAAAUUCCAGAAAACAAAGCGACAUAUUUUUGCUCUCAAACAGUGAACCAUAAUGUUUGCUCUAGUUUAUUAGUUAAAUUAGUGUAUGGGAAAUUUUGA